ensembl:lncRNA
CAGCGUCCUACAGCUUGGUCGUGAGCUGAGACCGUCCCUCCUCAGCUUGAAAUACAUGUGGCAAAAUGAGCUUGCUUCCUGUCUGUGCUUCAGCUGCCUUCCUUUCCAUGGACAGAAAAGAAGGAAUGCAAUAACUGAAUGACUCUCAACCAUGCACUCGUGAAACCUCACUGUAACUUCUGCAUAUGAAACUCCAUUGACUCAUAGGCUCUGCCUCCAUGUUAUUAAUAUUGGACUUCUACAACACUUGGGAAAAGAAAACUGAUCAGCAUCGGGGAGGAAAUUACGUUUCUGUCCAGUUAGCUGCAACAUCCAGAACAUGAUUCACAUUGACGGUGCUUUAUGCUGCCUCUCUAAGUUAUUCCUCAUCCAAUACCAGCACUACAAGGACAGUAAAUACCUGAUCUGGCACGCAGUCUGCACAAAGUUAACCCUUCAGCAUGUCUAGAACAAAUCUGGAGCAGUCACGUGAGGUGUCUCACUUCAGUGCCUGCCAUCAACAAGCUGCAGCAUUUUAAUUCCCCACUGCUAAACGGUGUCUAAAG